rnacentral:tmRNA from 1 species
GGGGCUGACCUGGAUUUGACAGCAACUGCAUCUAAUUAGUAUAAGCAUGUCGAGCCAUGUGGUGAGUCUCGUUAAUCUCUGGUCACACACGAUAAUUGACAACACGUCAUAUAAUCUUGCAGCCUAAUAACCUCAGGUUAUUACGCUUAAUCCACUCCGAAGCACAGUAAGAGGGACAAGUUUCUCGCCAGUUCUCCCGUCUCAUGAGCGCUGGAUCCCGAGAAAUCAACAAUUUGAGAAUAGUUUGUAAACGGCUUCUGUUUGCAUGCGAAAUUGAAUGAAGAUAAGUUAUGGUAAGGGUGUUUGUGUCCGUUCCAUAAUCGAAAACCUAAUCACAAACUAAACAUGUAGAAGGCUGAUUAUUUCAUUGUUUGGACGAGGGUUCGAACCCCUCCAGCUCCACAA